CUGAUGUUUUCCUUUUCUUAGUUUUCUUAUUUAAGGUUGUUCAAUAUAGAUAGAUCAAACCUCUCGAAAUAGUACUCCUGCAGAACAGUACUAAGACGUAAUGAUCAGUACAAUCCUAAUGACGUUGCUCCUUUAGCCUGUCUGCCUUAUGUAUUUGCAAUGUUGACUGUAUUUAUAAUCACUUCUCUCAGCUGAAGGAGACAGUAAUUAUUAGUACUGUAUUGGCUGUUUACCAGGUUUUCCCUAACAGCUGUGUCUAUUGCUGUAAUAACCUACUUUUGAGCUGAGGAUUUUGCAUUCAUUUAGGCGAGCUCAUUAUCUUUCACUAGCUAUGUUUCAUAAAGAAAAUGGUGCUUUCGUACUUCUAAGUACUGAUACAACACUUUUGAGCUGACUACACUGCAAAAGGAAGGUCAAUGCAAUCAUCAGGGACUCAGAUAUUUUUGAAGAGAGACGUACCCCACACAGAGUAUGUAUCUUGUAAGGAAAUGGGAUUGUGUUGUUACAGGACAGGGUCCUUUAACAUGCUAGCGGAGAACCAAUAUGGUUUUAACAUCCUAGGACAUGCUGCUGCCAAUUUCUUUUUUCUCCCAGAAGGUGAGAACAGGCAUCCACCACGUCCAGCUCUUCCCGUGCUGACAGCUGUCAUCAUCCUCCUCUCUUCCGCGGCAUGGCCCUGCCAAGGAAUUGUGUGGAAGGCCAGCUACAUCCAGGCAAACACGUGGAAUUCAACCUGUUACACUCGAAUCUGUUUUGCCUCCCCUGUUCCUAUACCAUCUGUGCCUGAUGAUGACCUGGAUGAUCCUUCAUUGCCAUCUUCUACUACCUUCUAUUAGAGUCAGUGGUAUCACUGCCAUCUGUCAACUUGCCCAUGCAACUACAUUUUUUCAGGUACAUUAUUACUACCUUGUGUUUAUUUUUAUAUAAUAUCAUCAUACUAUAACUAAUUAUUGUCUACAUGCUAUCAUUUAUUUAAAGGUAUCUUUAUGCAUACAAGUAGGUAUGGGGGCAAUAGGGAUUUUGGUAAAGGGGGCUGGAACACAUGCCCCUUUUUUUGUGUUGAAACCACAGUUUGCAAAUGCUGAUUUUGCUACUACGGAAUUCUCUUAAGAACAUGUGUGUCAGCAUCAGAAAGGGAUUGCUGUGGGCUGAUCCCAACCUUGGUAAGCACAACCCACCCUUACCCAGUGCUCUCAGCCACUUCUUCCUGGCAAACCAUAAUUAUUUGAACUUUCUGGAGAUGUCGAUAAUAUGGGAGAAAAAGGAUCUGUUAUCCUCUCCCUAUCUCCUUCCCUGUUUUGGAAUGGAGGGAGAAAACUGAAGUAGCUACAGUCUUCAGUAGUUAGUUGCUUAUUAAAAAAAAACAAACUCUUAUUCAUUUCCUUGAGAAGCUGAACUGUAUUAUGUAGAACUAGUUGUGGUGUAUAAAGUAGUGCUAGGUAUGUGUACGUAGUACAUCAGUUCUUUACUUCUGAAUAGACCAAAAAUACCUAUUUUCUGAGAUUGCUGUUUUGUGCAUUGAUAUACUCUAGGUGUAUUUCUGGUCACUAAAAAGGGGGAGGUAAAAAUUUGAAAGUAGAAACUAUUAAAGGGUUCAUUUGUAAACAAAAAGCAAGGCUAUACUGCAGAAAGCUAAUAAUGCAGCUAUUGAAAACCUUCUCGUUUCUACAGAGUUCAGGAAAAUAAGCGUGACGUUCAUAGAUACCGCUGUGUGUAUUUGUGUAUAGUUGAUAAUGGAGCACAAUGUUAAGGGCAGCAGUAAAUUUGACCUGCAAUAUAUAGGACUUAGAAUGACUUAAUACAAGAUGCUUUGAGAUAAAGUAACUCAAAUUGACAUGCUAACUAUAGAAAAAGCAUUUCAAAGUGCAGCAGGAAAAGUCUAAUUCAGACCAUAUUCAGACCGAAAUAUCCUUUCGAUGAUUAUACUGAGAUAACACAUUUCAUCUAAUAAUUUUUUUCCUUCAGUUUUUCCUAAAAUGUCCCUAUUCCUACAUCAAGCCCAAGGCAGAGGUAGUGAGAAAAAGGAGAGGGAUUAUUUUCUCAGAACAGCUUUUCCUGCUGGCCUUGUCAUCUGUAGCCAGAGGAGGACAGGUAUGAACAGACUGGUGAAACUGGACCAUGACACAGGACAAGAGUGAGUAAGGCAGGACUUUCUCCUAAAAGCUUAAGACCCUGUGCACCAACCAUUUGUCAAAAAUGCCAAAACUGUAGUGAGAAAAAGGAGUAUCUUAGGGGCUAUUUAAAUAAAGGCUGCACAUCUAGUUGGAAAAAUGGACA
ensembl:lncRNA